rnacentral:misc_RNA from 1 species
CGAAAUGCGAUAAGUAAUGUGAAUUGCAGAAUUCAGUGAAUCAUCGAAUCUUUGAACGCACAUUGCGCCCUUUGGUAUUCCGAAGGGCAUGCCUGUUCGAGCGUCAUUACAACCCUCAAGCUCUGCUUGGUAUUGGGCUUCGCCGGAGCAAUCCGGCGGGCCUCAAAGCCAUAGGCGGCGGCGCCCCUGCUUUAAGCGUAGUAAAGUUCUUCUUUCGCUUGUAGGUGGGGGCGUUGCUUGCCUGACAACCCGGGCUCUGCCCACCUUCUCAGGUUGACCUCGGAUCAGGUAGGGAUACCCGCUGAACUUAAGC